rnacentral:rRNA from 1 species
AACGAACGCUGGCGGCAGGCUUAACACACGCAAGUCGAACGCAUCCUUCGGGGUGAGUGGCAGACGGGUGAGUAACGCGUGGGAACGUGCCCUUCAGUUCGGGAUAACCCAGGGAAACUUGGGCUAAUACCGGAUACGUGCGAGAGCAGAAAGAUUUAUCGCUGAAGGAUCGGCCCGCGUCUGAUUAGCUAGUUGGUGGGGUAAUGGCCCACCAAGGCGACGAUCAGUAGCUGGUCUGAGAGGAUGAUCAGCCACAUUGGGACUGAGACCCGGCCCAAACUCCUACGGGAGGCAGCAGUGGGGAAUAUUGGACAAUGGGCGCAAGCCUGAUCCAGCCAUGCCGCGUGAGUGAUGAAGGCCUUAGGGUUGUAAAGCUCUUUCGUCCGGGACGAUAAUGACGGUACCGGAAGAAGAAGCCCCGGCUAACUUCGUGCCAGCCGCCGCGGUAA